rnacentral:lncRNA from 1 species
GAGAUUUUAAAAACUAAUUUUUUACCUGAUGCUCCUCUAUUUCCUCUUGAUGUUUCAGUUCCACAUCUGGCUUCAGUCUGAAUGUUUGCCUUCUGCCACGGUCUCUGUGGCCCUGUGAUAUCAGCCUGGGAGAAGCAGGAACUCUGCCAGACUCCCCCAGUCAUCAUAACAUUGACCCACUGAGGAAGGCUGAUAAGGACUCAAGAAGAGCCUAUGUCAGGGCAGAUCAGCAGGCCACAGGCUGACCUCAAAGAGUGAAUCAGGUCCUUGUUGUGGGGGAAAUUCAGGGGUUUUCACGUGAGUAGCCAAAGUUAAAUGUACAACCUCUAAGUGAAUGAGCAUCAGUUCCACACACCAGACAAGCAUCUUUCACCCUGGUUGAUUUUGUUGCCAAGUUCCACAUUUAUUUUAAAUUAGGCUGCUCUGUACAUUUUCAUUGUGAGCAAUAUUAACUUAUUUCAUCACCUUCCGAAUUUCUUGGUUCUAUUCUACUUACUUCUCUUUCUCUUUGAUAAGACCCGGCCUAGUAAAAUGCACACAGAUGGGGAGCUGGUUGUCCCUGGCCUGAAG